CUGCAGCUCUAGCGAGGUGGACAGGGGCUGGUGAUUUUGAAUGAAUAGGCUGGUGAUGUGGUUUCCUUCGAUUGUUAUUUUGUUGCUCAUGGUGAUGUGGAAUGGACAGGCUGGUGAAGCACGUGGCGAGGGCGUUGAAGGACGAUUUCACCACCAAGGGGGAGAUUUAGCUGAAGUCGGGGUGCAGCGUGGUUGUGCGGCAUCGUAAGAAGGUAUAACCAAGGGUAAUGCUGCCUUGUGUUGGCUGAAUUUCAUGGUGCAUUCUAUAUGUAGCAUUAUUAUGUACUUGUUGUAG
rnacentral:lncRNA from 1 species